rnacentral:siRNA from 1 species
UGUGGUGGUAAAUUUUAUCAC